rnacentral:rRNA from 1 species
GUUGUUGCAGUUAAAAAGCUCGUAGUUGAAUUUCGGGAUCAAUGUUUCGGUCAUGCCGUUGGUAUGUACUGAUAUUAUUGGUUUCUCACCUUCUAAAGAACCGUAAUGCCAUUAAUUUGGUGUCACGGGGAAUUAGGACUGUUACCUUGAAAAAAUUAGAGUGUUUAAAGCAGGCUCACGCUUGAAUACAUUAGCAUGGAAUAAUGAAAUAGGACGUUCGAUCUUAUUUUGUUGGUUUCUAGGAUUGACGUAAUGAUUAAUAGGGAUAGUUGGGGGCAUUAGUAUUCAAUUGUCAGAGGUGAAAUUCUUGGAUUUAUUGAAGACUAACUACUGCGAAAGCAUUUGCCAAGGAUGUUUUCAUUAAUCAAGAACGAAAGCUAGGGGAUCGAAGACGAUCAGAUACCGUCGUAGUCUUAACCAUAAACUAUGCCGACUAGGGAUCGGAUGAUGUUAAUUUUUUAAUGACUCAUUCGGCGCCUUACGGGAAAC